AUAAAUUGAAGCAACACCUCCCCCUUUACCUUUUGGACGUGGCUCAUGUUUAUAACAGUAAUCUUGGGGUGUAGACUCAUUUAAAAUAAUGUAAUCAUCAGGUUUUAGCCAGGUUUCUGUCAAACAGAGUGCAUCUAGAUUAUGAUCAGUGAUCAUAUUAUUUACAAAAAGUGCUUUCGUAGAAAGGGACCUGAUAUUCAAUAAGCCAAGCUUUAUCAUUUGUUUAUCCGUAUUGCAUCUGUUUUUUAUUUGUUGAACCUCAAUUAAAUUGUUGCUCUUAAAUUGGUUUGGACGUUUUUUGUAUUUUCUAGCCCGGGGAACAGACACAGUCUCUAUAGUGUGAUAUCUAGGUGAAAGAGUCUCUAUGUGCUGAGAAUUAACUGACUUCUGUGACUGGAGGCGGCUAGCAGACGGUCGGUUUAGCCAGUCUGUCUGCUUCCUGACCUGGGCCCCAGUUAGUCAAGUACAAACUCUAAGACUAUGUGCCAUAUUUCUAGAAAGAAGAGCGGCACCACCCCAGGAGGGAUGAAGACCAUCUCUUUUCAACAGGUCAGGUCUGCCCCAAAAGCUUGUCCAAUUGUCUAUGAAACCUAUGUUAUUCUGCGGGCACCACUUAGACAUCCAGCCAUUGAGUGAUGACAAUCUGCUAUGUAUCUCAUCACCACGGUAAGCAGGGAGGGGACCAGAGCAUAUUACAGUGUCUGACAUCAUGCUUGCAAGUUCACACACCUCUUUAAUGUUAUUUUUAGUGAUCUCCGACUGGCGAAGUCGAACAUCAUUAGCACCGGCGUGAAUAACAAUCUUACUGUAUUUACGUUUAGCAUUAGCCAGCACUUUUAAAUUUGCUAAGAUGUCAGGCGCUCUGGCUCCCGGUAAACAUUGGACUAUGGUGGCUGGUGUCUCUAUUUUCACAUUCCGUACAAUAGAAUCGCCAAUAACUAGAGCACUUUCAUCAGGUUUCUCAGUGGGUGCAUCACUGAGUGGGGAGAACCUGUUUAAUGUUUUGAUCGGAACAGAAGAGUGGUGUUUAGACCCACGACUAUGCCGCCUCACAGUCACCCAGUUGCCCUGCUGCAAAGGCCCUGUUACCGGAACCGAACAAUGCAAAUAACAAUAGCAGGAGAAGCCAUUACUCACCGUGCUUGAUGAAAGAUUCUUACCACAGUUGUUUGAUGAACUUGUGAAAACCGGAGAGAUAGAGUAGCGAGAGAGAGAGGAGGAAAGAAAACCUUCACCAUUAUAAGUAUCUUUUUUAAUGCGCUUGGACAUAAAUUUUAUUCUCUGCAAGGUUAUUUACUCACACGUUUAAGAUAAAGCACUUGCUGAACCUCAUUGCUUGGUGAAUCCGCCUCGCCCACUAACCAUCCCUGCAUGGGAUCUGCCCACUGUGCUGAGGGCACUGAAGGACCCUCCUUUUGAGUCUCUACAGUCUACCAACAUUUGGUAACUGUCGCUGAAGACUGCUCUGCUUCUGGCUAUAGCAUCAGUAAAGUGAAUAGGGGAACUGCAGGCGCUCUCCAUUAGCCCUGCCUGCCUGCAAUUUGGGACUAACGACACUAAGGUCAUCCUGAAACCAAGCCAUGGUUAUGUACCAAAGGUGCUUUCCACUCCAUUCAGAGCAAAG
ensembl:lncRNA